rnacentral:rRNA from 1 species
CCCUUAGAUGUCCUGGGCCGCACGCGCGUUACACUGAUGCAUUCAACGAGCCUAUCCUUGACCGACAGGUCCGGGUAAUCUUUGAAUCUGCAUCGUGACGGGGAUAGAUUAUUGCAAUUAUUAAUCUUCAACGAGGAAUGCCUAGUAGGCGCAAGUCAUCAGCUUGCGUCGAUUACGUCCCUGCCCUUUGUACACACCGCCCGUCGCUCCUACCGAUUGGGUGUGCUGGUGAAAUGUUCGGAUCGGCCGUUUGUCGCGGUUUCCGCGUCAUGUGGCUGAGAAGUUCAUUAAACCCGCCCACCUAGAGGAAGGAGAAGUCGUAACA